UGGCAGGGACAGGCAGGCAGGCAGAGGAAUCUAUUCGCCGCGACUUGGUGAUAAUGUUCAGUAAAUGGCGGUGCAUCUGAGAAGUCUCAGUGAAGAUGGUUAUGUUCAGCUCGGUUAUGUAAGCAUGCAGAUAUGUGUUCUUCAAGUGGCUCAGCGUUAGCCAGUGAUCUUCUGGCUGGAGUAGUAGCAAGUUUAUCAUCUUACCUUAAGAUCCAGAAAUCAUGAUUUAUGUUGCAACUGUGAUAUGGUAUCUGUUAUCUGCAGUUUCAAACAUUGUAUGCUGUUUUGGUAGUUCUUUUCCGGAAGUGUUUUACCUAUGGACACAUUAAUACGUCUCAAACGUAUCUAUAAUUUCUUAUGUUCCAUGCUA